rnacentral:misc_RNA from 1 species
GUAUUUUGAAUUGUUUAUUCAUAAUAUUUUUCAGACAAAAUCACUAAAGUUCUGAGUAGAUAUAAAUCCCAAAGGUGACCAAACGGGCUUUUGACAGCCAGCUGGCCUCCAGUGAGAUGACAUUGCACACAAGGUGGAUAUGGAUUUUUUUAAAAGUGCCAUAAAAACACUUUGAUUAUGAAUGAUCCUUCCGCAGGUUCACCUACGGAAA